rnacentral:rRNA from 1 species
CCUACGGGGCGCAGCAGUGGGGAAUAUUGGACAAUGGGCGAAAGCCUGAUCCAGCCAUGCCGCGUGUGUGAAGAAGGCCUUCGGGUUGUAAAGCACUUUCAGUGGGGAAGAAAGCCUUGGGGCUAAUACCCUCGAGGAAGGACAUCACCCACAGAAGAAGCACCGGCUAACUCCGUGCCAGCAGCCGCGGUAAUACGGAGGGUGCGAGCGUUAAUCGGAAUUACUGGGCGUAAAGCGCGCGUAGGCGGUCUGAUAAGCCGGUUGUGAAAGCCCCGGGCUCAACCUGGGAACGGCAUCCGGAACUGUCAGGCUAGAGUGCAGGAGAGGAAGGUAGAAUUCCCGGUGUAGCGGUGAAAUGCGUAGAGAUCGGGAGGAAUACCAGUGGCGAAGGCGGCCUUCUGGACUGACACUGACGCUGAGGUGCGAAAGCGUGGGUAGCAAACAGGAUUAGAUACCCGAGUAGU